CUUCAAACUCAAUAGUUACUCCCCCCUACAAACUACACGAUAAUUUAGGAAGAUAACUAUUAAUUUUGGGUUGGGGUGACCACGGAGAAUAGUUUAACCUCCGCAAUGAAAGAAUAUUAUUCUUAUCCAUGAGCUACACCUCUAAGAAUUAAUAAAUUAACAUAAAAUGAUCCGAUCUCGUAUUCGAUCAAUGAACCAAGUUACCCUGGGGAUAACAGCGCCAUCCACUUUUGAGAGUUCAUAUCGACAAGUGGGUUUACGACCUCGAUGUUGGAUCAGGGUAUCCCAGUGGUGCAGCCGCUACUAAAGGUUCGUUUGUUCAACGAUUAAAACCCUAC
rnacentral:rRNA from 1 species